UGGGGAAUAUUGCACAAUGGGCGAAAGCCUGAUGCAGCAACGCCGCGUGAGUGAUGAAGGCCUUCGGGUUGUAAAGCUCUGUCUUUUGGGACGAUAAUGACGGUACCAAAGGAGGAAGCCACGGCUAACUACGUGCCAGCAGCCGCGGUAAUACGUAGGUGGCAAGCGUUGUCCGGAUUUACUGGGCGUAAAGGAUGCGUAGGCGGAUUUUUAAGUGAGAUGUGAAAACCCUAAGCUUAACUUGGGGACUGCAUUUCAUACUGGAAAUCUAGAGUGCGGGAGAGGAGAAUGGAAUUCCUAGUGUAGCGGUGAAAUGCGUAGAGAUUAGGAAGAACACCAGUGGCGAAGGCGAUUCUCUGGACCGUAACUGACGCUGAGGCAUGAAAGCGUGGGUAGCAAACAGGAUUAGAUACCCUGGUAGUCCACGCCGUAAACCGAUGAGUACUAGGUGUAGGAGGUAUCGACCCCUUCUGUGCCGGAGUUAACGCAAUUAAGUACCCCGCCUGGGGGUAGUACGGUCGCAAGACUGAAACUUAA
rnacentral:rRNA from 1 species